AUACACCAGCUUCAUAGCUGCUGCUGAUAUUGAAUAAUUAGAACACUUUACAAACAAUGAGUUAAGCAGUCUCUCGGAAAACAAGAAUGAAAUAAAGUUGAAAUUAUGCCUCAAACAUAUCUGCGAAAGUAUGGUCAUUUGACAGCUGUUGUCUAUCAGUGUGGCUUUAGAAUCACCAAAGAGUUGUUUUUCAAAAGAGUAAAGGAUUUAACGCCACCAGGUCACAUCCCAUCUCCAUGGACUGUCGACCACUUCCUGCAUACAGAAAGGGAUAGCAUACUUAAACAUGAUCUUGGCAAAGAUUUGAAAGAAAAUCUGUUCCCUGGAUUUUCUAAACCAACUGACACUGAGACAUGGGAUCUAAAUACAUUCUGUUUCCUUAUAAUUCAUUUCUGUAAACUGCGAAAAGAUGUCAAAGACCACAUAAUUCUUUUGAGAAGAUUUAGGAAUGAGUUAGUUCACAUGGCAGAAUCAGCACUGGACUUUGACGACGAUACAUACAAAACAAUUCUUGAUCAGAUUGAAAAUAUCAUAAAAAGAUGUUCACAAGCGAUGGGAACACCUCAGCUAGAAGACGAAUUACGACCGUGUUUAAAAGACACAGGUAUUAUGCAAUCAGCUGAUGUGGAAGAGAUAAAGGCGAAAUUGAUUAAAUGGUUAGAGGACGAAGAAAAAUAUCAUGUUUGGCUUGAAAUCUCACAUGAAGGUCUUGAGAAGCUUAAUUCCUAUUUACUUGGCAUACAAGAAAACCAUGAGAGAAGUGGAAGACAUGCAAGAAUUCCUUUACCACUUGAUAUUGUAGUACACUUUGUAACAAAUGAUGAAAGUGAAACAACGGCGGGAAUUGUUGUUAGUGGCAGAGCCUAUAUUGAAUUUAUUAAAGAUGAUAUUCGUGAAUUGGGCCCAGAAGUUGAAAGCGACAGCCCUGGUUCCAUUCUUUUCAAAUUUACAUGCUUCUCGGUUACGUCUCUGAUUUAUUUGAUCAACUACUUUAGCGGCCCGAUUCUUCACAGACGCGUUCACGAAAUCGCUAAUACAACUUAUGAAAAGGAAGAGGGAAUGAUAAAAAUACAGAUCGGUAUUCCAGAAGAAAACCAAAGGGAAAUCAUCCGACAGUUAGCAGAUUCGACAACCUCAAAUGACUAUCAGCCACAUUCGAAGAAAUUAAGAGUUUCCAUGCAUGUGUUUAAUGAUCCGUUGUAUGGUCAAAUAGAGCUUCAUCCAUUGUGUGUAAACAUCAUUGAUACACGACAGUUUCAGAGAUUGAGGUACAUCAAACAGCUGGACACAUGUUACUAUGUCUAUCCUGGAGCUAGCCAUAAUAGAUUCGAACAUUCUAUUGGUGUUUGUCACUUGGCGGGAAAACUGUUGCGAGUUCUAAAAGAACGUCAGCCUGUGUUGGACAUCACAACAAAGGACAUUCUAUGCGUAGAAAUUGCUGCUCUUUGUCAUGAUUUAGGUCAAGGACCAUUCUCCCAUGUGUUUGAAGAUAAGUUCCUACCAGCUAUAGAUCAAGACAGUAAAUGGAGGCAUGAACGUGCCUCUGUGGAAAUGUUUGAAGAUAUGAUGCAAGAAAGAAACGGUAAACUUUACAAACUAUUCCGUGAGUAUAUACCGGGAUUAGAAGAUAGAGAUAUAAUUUUCAUUAAAGAACUGAUUGGGGUACCUCCGAAGCCAACGUCUGAAAAGAUUUGGCAAUUCAAAGGAAGGGACAAGAACAAAAGUUUUCUUUACGAGGUGGUUGCUAACCAUGUUAAUGGAAUAGAUGUUGACCGCUGGGACUAUAUUGCCAGGGAUAGUUACAUGCUAGGAAUGAAAUCUGUAUUUGAUCACAAUAGAUGCAUUCAACACGCUAGAGUAAUUAUGGCAGAGGGGCGAAAACAAAUUUGCUACAGAGAUAAGGCCGCUCAAGACCUGUACGAUAUGUUCUACAGUAGAAUGGCACUGUACAGAAGGGCGUAUCAGCACAAGACGCACAAUAUCAUCGGAUUAAUGGUCCGUGACGCAUUGCUUGCGGCAAAUGAGAAACUAUUCUUUAUUGGUGAAAAUUGUCGACCGGUAAAACUAUCUGACACUAUAAAAGACAUGAAGGCGUUUGUUCAUCUGACAGACGACAUCCUGCUGCAAAUACAAAGGUCAGUUGAUAAGGAUUUGGAAACCUCGAGGGAAAUAAUAAACAGGAUUGUUCAAAGGGAAUUCUACAAGUGUGUCACACAAACUCAAGUCGACGUUAAGCAGAAAGGUUGGAUAGUUGAGACUGAAGUUCAAGAAAAUCUUUUUAACAAGAUAAAUCAGAAAUUGCCCGAACCAAGAGAAUUGUCAAAAUUCAUUGAAAUUGAUGCAAGUACCUUUACACAUACAUGUUUUAUUAAUUUACUCAUUAAUCUCAUAUUAAAAAUUGUUUAAACUUAAUUUUUGUAAGCACUAUAUUAAAGAUCCUGUAUGAUGUAAUUGACGUUGUUACAACACUUAAGUGAAAUUUUAUAUAUGUAUAUAAUUAUGUAUUUAAAACAAUUUUCAAAAAUCGAAGAAUAUGUAAAAUAUGUACUGCAAAUAUUUGUACAUAUUAUAUGUAAUCAUUAGAAUACAUGUAUAUGCAUUCAUUUCUUAUUGAAACAUUUGACUUAGACUUUAUAGAAAAUAAAUUUCUAAUUUCCUCCCUUUAUUUGCAUGAAGUGUAAAAUUCGGUAAUACUUUUAUAAAUAAUGCUUUUUGAAACAUACAAUAUUGAUAAAUCUUAAUUUGAGUAUCAUAUUUAUGAUAUAAAACCAUAAAAUAUUGUGUAACAUGAUCUUUUACUAUUAACAGAAUAUGCAUAUGCAUGGUUCAAGGGAUUUAUAAAUAUGGUAAUAUAAAUAUAAUAAUUAUUAAAUUUUUAUCGUAAUUGUAAAUUGAAAAAAAGACAUUUUAAAAACUAUAUAAAAGCCCGAUCAAUAAAGAACGACAUAAACUAUAUAAGAACACAACUUAAUAAAAGAAAGCUCACUAUUUAAGUCAAUACGUUCGUUGAAUAGGUUGUUAACCUGGACUAUGGAAGCAAAGAAAAAGAUCCUAUUAUGAACGUCUGGUUCUUCAAAAAAGGACAAGAGCAAAAAGCCAUAAGAAUAAACAAGGAUCAAGUUUCCUUUAUCCUUCCGGACACGUUUGCGGAACAAUAUGUUCGAAUCUACUGUAGUGAAACAGACCUUGACUUAUUCGAUAUUAUUGAAAAGUCCUUUCAAGAAUGGUGCACGGAAAACAAUAUUCCGCCACCAAAGGGUUCCGUUAUACCAUAGGUAUAAAUAAAAGAGGACAGUUAGACAGAGCAUUAUUUUAUGCUGGAACAUUCAUUUUACAUGUAAAUGAUGAUUAUUGUACUAUACUAUACAACUAAGUGUUUUGCAUGUUCAUAUUAUGAACAAGAGAAAUGGACAACUGAAAACUUGUAUUAGAUGUAUUAUUAACCCUUAUUUACUUUGCAAAUUUGCACGAAUAUUAUUUAUUUCAUUUUUUUACUUUUUUAUACGCCCGGACAAAUGUCGGUGUAUAUUGUUAUGCAAUGGCAGUUCGCCCAACCGUCCAUUUGUCGGUUAGCAAUUUCGUUGCUGCUAUGUUUGGAAGAAAAUUGAAACAACUUAACAGAAAAGUAAACCAUAAUAAGACCAUAAUGAGUUUGACCUUCCACAGGUCAAUGUCAUACGUCACCGAGAAAAAAAAACAAAAUUACUAACAAGACUCAUUACCCUGAUAUUUAAAAAAAUGGCUCCGUACAGGGCCGGGCGGCGUGACAUAUUUUACAUGUACACAGAUUUAUAUGGUGCACAUGUCUUAAAAAUCUCUUUCCCAAAACCUACAAUUUUCAGAGCAUAGAUAUUUAUCAUGUAGCUGAGUUUAUAAAAGUAGAGUUAUUACUUUUGUACUGAUCAUGAAAAUGACAUGUAUCAAUAUAGAUCUCAACAAAUAUUAAAGGAAAUACCUAUAAAUCUCUGCCCUGGGGUCACUCUGAAUCAUAUUGAUAAUUGAGAUAAAGCAUGUUCCGGAAAAGUAAUGAACUGAAUCGGUUUCUUCUGUAAUUUAAAUAUUAUUUGUGAUUUCUUUAAAAAUUUAAUUACUAAAUACAAAUUUGCAUUCGAACGUAUAUUGUCCCGCCUAUGCGGUGCUCUUGUUAAUUCUUGCGUGUAGUGUAUAUGGAUGUUUAAACAGGUUUUGUUUUUUGGUGUAAAUUGUCAAAUAUAGAUCAAAACAGAGUAAAUUUCAAGAUAUCAAAGUACUGUUAUAACCUUGCAAGUAGAAAUUGUAGCAACUGGCAUUUUAGGAUGAAAAGCCUCUUUAUAAAAUUUGUUUGUGUAGAUUUUAGUGACUGUACAUUGCCACAGAAUGAAAAUCUUGUUGUUGAUACAUUGUGAAGAAUGCAAUGGAUGUAUUGAUAGAUGAAUGGAUAAGAUCAGUUCAUUGUAUAUUUAGUAAAUCUGGUGAUGGUAGAAACAAGUUAAGGUUAUAUCAGAAAUUUUAAGUUUGAUUUUGAACAGGAGCAUUAUGUCAGUAAAGUUAUGUCUUAUCGCCAUAGAUCAGCAUUGGCUAAAUUUAAACGUGGUGUUGCACCAAUCAGAUUGGAGAUUGGCAGAUACGAAAGAUUAAAUGUUAACGAUAGAGUAUGUCCUAUUUGUAAUAAUGGCAUCGAAGAUGAGAUGCACGUAUUAUUGCAUUGCCCCCAGUACACUGAUAUUCGCAAUAAAUUAUUUGCAAAUGCUGCUGAAAAUUGUACUUUGUUUAAUUCUUAUAAUGAUAUUGCCAAGCUUUGCUUCCUCUUGUCAAAUGAUGAUAUUGUCAAAUAUACUGCAAAAUCCUGCUACGAAAUACUUAAUGUUAGAAGAGAUUUUUUGUACCAAUAAAUAUAUAUUUUAAUUGCUUCAUCUUAGAUGGAGGGUGACAAUACACAUUAUUAAUUCAAAAAUUUAAAGUUGAUGAUGUGUGUGUCUCACCUCCUGCCUAAAAUGAACAUUUUAAAUAACAAAAGAUCUUUUAUUGUAUAAAUGUUAAAAAUGUAUCUUUAAACCAACUAGAAAAUUUUAUCUUCCUGCUUUGAUAAUCACCACUGACCAGUCCAUUCAUGGUCUGACCAUGAGUGAUAUAUGAUUUUGUAAGACAUUUUUUAUUAUGCGCAAUAGUGCUGCAUUUACAAAACUCAGUAUUUUAUUAUCGAAUACCUUAUGGCAGAUUUUAAAUUGAGGUCAGUGGUUGUUACCAAAUUUUUAGAUUGUAUAAAGACAAAAUAUAAUAAGACAGUAUGUAUAAAUGAUUUUAGUACAUUUACGAGGAGACAACCAUUUAGGGUUUAGUAAAGUAAUGAGAUUUCAUUCUUCCAUUUUAAUAUUAACAAUUCCUAAUGUAAUUACUCAUACAGUUUUGUUGUAGAUAUAAAUAUUAGUACAUUUUAUUUAUAUUAAGUAUAACAUUCAAUGCUUGGAAUAUGCUGUUUUACUUAUAAAUGUCUCAGAGAUAUUAUGAUGUGUUUAUAUUAACAUGUAAAUGGGUAUAAUUAUGUAAAUAAGGGAGGUAAAUCUACAGUAGAUAUUAUAGAUUUCUGUAAUGUGGACUGUGGAGUUGCCCCUCUUAUAAACUAUAAAAGUCUGUUAUAAUUCUUUAAAGAAUGGCUGUACAAUUUACUGUAUGUAUAUUGUUUUAAUUAUAUAUGUAUGUAUAGAUCAGACUAUAAUAAAGAAUAAAUAUUAAUAUUUGUGUAUCUAUAUUUUUUUGUGUACACUUUUCUUAAUGGGACACUACUGAGGUGUUUUGACAUAAUGGGACAAGAAAUAUUUUUUUCGAGAUUAAGGCCACUUUUAUAUGUAGGUCUAGACCAAUAACUUGUGUACAACUUGAAACGUUUUUCGCUUUUGGUCAUUUUGAAUAAUAAAAAUAAUUAUUCUGAAAAACAAAGUGAAAGAAUGACCUUAUAUUUGGACACUAGAACUACAAAAAUUGUAUAAAUGUCUCGAAAAAAUAUUUCCAGUUCAUUCUUGUUUAAAAACACUUCAGUGGAGUCCCUCUAAAAGUACAAGUGAAAAACAAUUAAAUUGUGCUUAGAUGAUUUAUGUGUUUAAUACCUUUUAUCGUUAGAGCAAAAAUCAUUGUAAUUCAAUAAUUAUUUCAAAUACUGCCAUAGCAAUAGAGUCUGCACGCUUUGUUGAAUAAACAGCACUUCAACAUGUUUUAUGUUUUGGAUACCUUUCAGAUGUUUUAUGUGUUUAAUACCUUCUAUCAUUAGAACAAAUAUUAUUGUAAUUCCAUAAUUAUUUCAAACACUGCCAUAGCAUUAGAUAUAGCAAUAGAUUCUGCACAUUUUUUUGAAUAAGUAGCUUUUUAACGUGUUUAUUAAUGUUUCAUUUUUCCUGACCAAUUGCGUGUGUUGUGUCUUCGUGUAACCAUAAUAAAAUAUUCUUUGCCGUGUAUAA